rnacentral:rRNA from 1 species
UACGGAGGGUGCAAGCGUUAUCCGGAUUCACUGGGUUUAAAGGGUGCGUAGGCGGCUUGGUAAGUCAGAGGUGAAAGCUCACGGCUCAACUGUGGAAUUGCCCCUGAUACUGCCAGGCUUGAAUCGGCGCGAGGCAGGCGGAAUGUGGCAUGUAGCGGUGAAAUGCUUAGAUAUGCCAUAGAACACCGAUUGCGAAGGCAGCCUGCCAGAGCCGUUAUUGACGCUGAGGCACGAAAGCGUGGGGAGCGAACAGG